GAUGAACGCUGGCGGCGUGCUUAACACAUGCAAGUCGAACGAAGCAUUUAGAACGGAUUACUUCGGUUUGAAGUUCUUUAUGACUGAGUGGCGGACGGGUGAGUAACGCGUGGGUAACCUGCCUUGUACUGGGGGAUAGCAGCUGGAAACGGCUGGUAACACCGCAUAAGCGCCCCAUGUUGCAUGACAUGGUGUGAAAAACUCCGGUGGUAUAAGAUGGACCCGCGUCUGAUUAGCUAGUUGGUGAGAUAACAGCCCACCAAGGCGACGAUCAGUAGCCGACCUGAGAGGGUGACCGGCCACAUUGGGACUGAGACACGGCCCAGACUCCUACGGGAGGCAGCAGUGGGGAAUAUUGCACAAUGGAGGAAACUCUGAUGCAGCGACGCCGCGUGAGUGAAGAAGUAAUUCGUUAUGUAAAGCUCUAUCAGCAGGGAAGAUAGUGACGGUACCUGACUAAGAAGCUCCGGCUAAAUACGUGCCAGCCGCCGCAGUAAUAC
rnacentral:rRNA from 1 species